rnacentral:rRNA from 1 species
UACAGAGGGUGCAAGCGUUAAUCGGAUUUACUGGGCGUAAAGCGUGCGUAGGCGGUUCAUUAAGUCGGUUGUGAAAUCCCCGGGCUCAACCCGGGAACUGCGUCCGAUACUGGAAGGCUUGAAUCCGGGAGAGGGAUGUGGAAUUCCAGGUGUAGCGGUGAAAUGCGUAGAUAUCUGGAGGAACACCGGUGGCGAAGGCGACAUCCUGGACCGGUAUUGACGCUGAGGCGCGAAAGCCAGGGGAGCAAACGGG